ACUAAGUAAUUUUAGCUAAUACUGGAUAGAUUAUAGUAUUGUAUGUAAAGAUUUAAUCGCUAAGAGAUGAGCUUAUAUAAGAUUAGGUUGUUGGUGAGGUAACGGCUUACCAAGCCUGUGAUCUUUAGUUGAUCUGGGAGGAUGGACAGCCACAUUGAAAUUGAGAUAAGGUUCAGACUUCUACGGGAGGCAGCAGUGGGGAAUAUUGAACAAUGAGCGUAAGCUCGAUUCAGCGAUAUCCAGUGUGUGAUUAGAAGAACAGGAAACUUUUUGUAAAGCACUAUCAAUAAAAAAGAUAUUGACGUUAUUUAUGAAUGAAGCUCCGGCCAAACUUAGUGCCAGCCGCCGCGGUAAUACUAAAGGAGCAGGUGUUAUCCGAAUUAACUGGGCGUAAAGUGCAUGUAGGCGGCUCAUUCUAUGUUUAUUAUUAAUAAGUAAAGCUUAACUUUUUUAGGUAAUAUAUACAAUGAAGCUUGAGUAAAGUGGGGGGUAUUAGAACUUCUAAUGUAAGGGUGGAAUCUUUUUAAAUUAGAGGGAAUAUCUAGAGCGAAGGCAAAUAUCUACUCUUUAACUGACGUUGAGGUGCGAAAGUGUAGGUAGCAAAUAGGAUUAGAUACCCUAGUAGUCUACACGGUAAACGAUGAGUGUUAAACAUUGGAACAACUUAGUUUCUGUGUUACAGUUAACGCGUUAAACAUUCCGCCUGGGGAGUACAACCGCAAGGUUGAAACUUAAAGGAAUUGACGGGGAUCUAAACUCGCGGUGGAACAUGACGUUUAAUCCGAUAGUACGCGUUUAAUCUUACCAACGCUUGUAUAUCUUACAAGUGCUGCAUGGCUGUCGUCAGUUCGUGCUGUGAAGUGUGAGGUUAAGUCCUUUACAACGAACGCAACCCUUAUUUUUUAUUGCUAGUUUACUUUUUUUUAGUAAAUAGAACUUAAAAGAAUUGCCUGUCAUAUACAGGCUGAAAGUGGGGAUAACGCCAAGUCGUCAUGGCCUUUAUGCGUUGGGCUACAAUCGUGUUACAAUAAUUAUUACAAUUAGAUGCAACAACGUGAGUUAGAGCAAAUCUUAAAAAAUAAUUUUAGUUCGAAUUAGUUCUCUGCAACUCGAGACUAUGAAGUUGAAAUCGCAAGUAAUCGUAGAUCAGCACGCUACGGUGAAUAUGUUCUUAGAUCUUGUACACACCGCCCGUCAUACCCGGAGAAUUCGUUUUAUUGUAAAUAAGUUUAGUUAACUUUUAGGGGACUUGAGUUUUCAAGUUAUUAUAGGAUGCUUUUUAUUAAAAUAAAAUUAGUAAUCGGGGUGAAGUCGUAACAAGGUAGCUGUAGGGGAACCUGUAGCUG
rnacentral:rRNA from 1 species